ACAAAAAAAAACAAUAUAUUAUGACAAACCAAUCAGAAGCGAACUACAACGAAAUAAAAAAAAAAUGCGUGUCAACUCAGAUGUGAGACUGGAGUUUACUCUUUAAAAUUGCAACUAUCCAUUAUCAGCUACGAAUAUAUUACGGAAUGUUCGACAAUUGAGUAAUAUUUGGUGUUAUGCAACUAAAAUUAACCUAGCUAAAAUGAAUAUAUCCAGAACUAAUAUGAUUAACCCUAAAUCGAUUAUGCAUGCAAUGCCAGACGGACUCGUGACAAUCACCAACAAGAUGAGUUCGAUAGAAUAUUUACCAAAUGACAGUCGGAAAAACGUUACUUCGCUCGGCUUGCAAUUAAAUCCCAAGUAUAUUUUAUCGUUUAUCUUAUUCCUAUUUACUGAUAGUGUGUACUUCAAUUUGAACUAAGAACACAUGAUUAUUAAUACCGGUAUACGUAAAGACGGUAAUAUAUCUAGAAAUUGCCGCCACGAAGAAAUCAAGCGGUUUAGUUUACCCUCGGAAUUCGAACACUGGUAUAAUCACAUAGCUCGAUCCGAUUACACCCAGUGGCUUAUCCUUUAUCGUUAUCCUUAAGCCUCGAGUACAUGAUUGCAACGACUAUUCGGAAGAUAUAUUAAAAAGUAUGUGAUCUUAGCCUCCUGUAGGUGCUACAAUAAAUCAAAUAAAUGGUCAUGAAAUACA